UUAUCGAUUCUCAAUGCUCCCUCAUUGCUCAAUCGUAGUAUACUCCCAUCCUUCAACAAACAACGUGGUUGAAACAAAGCAGCCAAGGUUCUAAAUGUUUGAAAUAGCCCAGGACUAUCCUGAAGAGGGUUUAACAACAUCAAAAAUCCAAUAUAUUAAAGUUCCUAAGCUUCAAUAUGACAAAACUAAGAUGAAGAACUUAGCCCUAACUGUUGAUGUGGAGUUGGUGCUAAUUUGCUGCCACCCCCUUUCAUGAUGUUUUCAAUGUCAAAACAGGCUGGUGAUUUCUGAGCUUCUUUGUGUCAGUCCAAUGUGCUAUGUGCAGAUGGGUUUGUUACAGCCAGCCGGUGAUAGGUGCUCUUCUUGCUACCUGUACCAGCUGUAUGUUUCAUAUCAUACAAAAACACUUAACACAAUGAAUGACACACUUCAGAACAAUGAAGGAUAAACAGCCUGGUGAAGUCUGAGCUUCUUUGUUGCUGCCCAAUGUUCACAUGGAUUUGACAUAAGCGGCAGGUUUAUCGUGUAAGUUUGCGUAGUUGCUGUCCGCUGUGGCUCGUUGUUGCAGCCUAUGCUGGCGAAAGAUCUUUCUACAACAAGUUCAAUUGGUCGUUCCUUGGUGUCGUGUUACCGAAAUUGCAUCAUUAUUUUGCUAAAUUGUCAUCGUUACUACAGUUGAUAAGUUAAGAAGCUACAAAAACAAAUAUCGGAUGUUUAUGUCAAACAAAUAAUAAAUAUGUUUUCGGGAUUGGGAAAGGAAAGUGGAGGUGGGGGAGGAUAUUUCAAGUCGGGACAAAAAAUCAGUUAAUUUAUAAACCUACAAACAUAUCCCUACCAACUAAUCAGCAAACCCCACAAACUUAUACCUUCCAAUUCUUCAAACCCCACAAACAUACACCUACCAAACCCUAAAUUUAUGCCCUAAACCCCAUAAACCAAUGUUAAACCAUAACGAUGUAAAAUAUCUGUAAUAAAUAAAA